AAUUUGCAAUUUUAGUAAACUAAAAAAUGUCCGACCUCUCUGAUUGACACGAUCCAUUGUGUGGCGACGUGCCGCUCGGCGGGCAACUUGAAACGCUGCUUUGAGCUUUCUCGACUGAAGCUCCUUAUCGAGAAUCUUUUCUAAGUCGCGAUUGCGCUGUUGUCGCAUCUACGCGUUGAGCUAAUCGCAUAAAGCUUCUUGGGAGUCGAUCAUAAAUUGUGUAACGCUCGGAGGGAAUGGGGCCGAAAUACGGGGUACGUCCCUGCAUCAUUCCGCAGGUGAAAAAAUACCAUGUGGUCCACGAGGCUGUGGAGGUUAUCAGGAAUCGGCCGGAAUUUCCUUACCGGAUGGCUAUUCGGAAGUUCAACAAAACGAUGCCUGUCAUGGACGCGGAUUUUUGGAUUCUCUCUCCUAAAGUCAACAGUUUCCAGAUGUGGGUAGAGGGAUUCGAGCGGCUAGGUAUGGAUCAUGUGUACACCAAAAGUGCAGUUAGCUUGGCUUUCCCUUUCUGCGAUUUUCUCGCGGGAAGGUUUGUUUUCAACCGAGGUUUUAAAGAUUUCGGCACUCUCCCAACUUCAUGUCCUUUCAAACCGGGGAACUACUCGCUUCGGAAUUGGAUUAUCGAGGAUAAAUACUUACCUCCAUUAAUUCCGGGAAAAUAUUGGCGGCUUGACUUUUACCUUGGGCCCGUUGGAACUCCUAUUCACUCGGACGGCACUGGAAAAUUCUCCUACUACUGUAAAAUCGUAUAUGAGUGAUAACAUUUUACCUUACUUUCAUAUGUUGUUCAUAAAUUUAAUAUACAAAUACAAAUUUUAUACAUACUUAUACACAUCUGAUUCAUACCAGAGUCAUAAAAGUUCAUAAAAAGAGUUCAUAAAAUACUUGACAUUG
rnacentral:lncRNA from 1 species